rnacentral:lncRNA from 1 species
AUUUUUAUCACUGAACGUUUUCUUAUGUUUAGCUAUAUAUCUCUCCUUGCAUGCCUAACUUCAAUUCUCACCUUCUUCCUUACUUGUUUAAUAUAUUCCAUAUAUCUUUUUAGAUUACCUGUAGCUUCCUUUUCCUUUCCUUAGUAAUAUAUUCUGUAAUGUGAGUUACAUUUUUUGUUUACACCUUGUUUUCAGGAACAGUAGUUGAAUCCAACCCCAUCCACAGUCAACAGAAAUAUGGCGGUCAAGACUGGCACCACAUGGUUUAGACACUGAAUAGAAGUAACCAUGUUUAAUAUAGGUUAGCAAUAUCAACUGUUUUCAGCUAUUGUGGAAUUUUAGCUUUGUUGGCUUUGAUUUUACUAGGAGUGUUGGAGUCUGUGGAGGUGGCCUUAAAUAUUGACCAGAACCUUUUGCUUUUCGAUAUUAAUGAUGGAAGUGUUUGAAAGUAGCUACUGCAUCGGUUUAGCUGACUAUAAUGACUUAAUUAGAUUCUUUUGUUAAACCAUAUAGCCUAUUGAAGGUUUUGAGGAUUUUUGAGAAUACAAUAAAGCGACUGCUACGCAGGCUAGUUAAACCAUUGAGUGCAAGCACUCUCCCUUUAUGAGUAAAAUUGUGUGGCGUUAGACAGAGUAAAAUAACAAAGUAUAGGGCUGUUACGGCACAAUGCCACUUAAAGGGUUAACUUCCAUGCACAUUGAACUUGAGCCUGAUAGUAUUAGUAGCUACUUAAUAUGUCUAGACGGAAUGUAUUGAAAUGUAGGCUACCUUAAAUAUAGGUCGCCAAAAUACUGUAUAUAUGCUUAAUCUUCGUUUCUACGGAGGGGUAUGAAAUCAUUUUUCAUAAAUUUGAGGGGUUACCAAAUAAAAUUUGGAAUGUCCGUGUUCGGUACGAAACGUUUUUUAAAAUUAUAAAAAUGGCCUCCGCCACUCCCCCUAUAACACUAUAUAGCGAGUUUGGUAACCAACAACGGCGACGGCAGAAAACAAAAUUACCUAUACUUUUGUAUUUGAGCGAAAACAUACAUUACUAACUUCUUUUUAACCGAACGCGAGGUCUGCAGAGAAUUAUCGGACCGAGGUCUUUUUUGUACAGAUCGAGCCCGUAGGGCGAGUUUUGUACAAAAAGUCCGAGGUCCGAUAUUUCUCUGUACAUACCGAGCAAGCGAGGUUAAUAAAAAGUUUAUUAUAUGGCAUUUAUAAGCAUUUAUACUUGAAACAAACAAGAAAUGCAUGAUUUGAAAUGCAUGUUAGUAGCGUGGUACACAUUUGGUCGAAGAAAACAAAAAAUACCAAUGUAUUCCUUCUUUUCCACUAAGAACCAUUCGCAGAUAUCUUCUUAAUAACAAAUUAAAUUAUGAUUUUCAAAUUUUCAAUUAGUUUUGCUGUUUUGUUUUAAAAUGCAUGCGUUUGUUUUACGUAAUGGACCGCCGGCCAUUACGGGAAAAUAAUGGACCGCUGAAAGUGCUUCUCAGCCAAUCACAGUCUGCCAUUUCACCGGAAGUGAUGCUUGCCAUAUAAUAAACUUUUAAAAGCACUUAUCUUUCUUUUAAACAACCCUGAAAUUCCCUGAAGUAGUAAUAGUAAGUGAAUUAACAUAAAACAUCCCGAACGACUUGAACGUUGUACUCUUUUGGCGUGGUCAUGAGCCGUGAUAAUGAUGUAAAUAACGUAGCAGUUUGAACAACUGGGGCGUACUAGAAUGCUCAAGGGUGCAAAUUAUAUUCACCUUUGUCUUAGGACGCUUUCCAUUAACACGGCCAGACCGGUCAGAACGGUCAAAUUGUUGAAUGACACACAAAACAUUUGGGCUUCGGACCUAUCUGACCGGAAAUUUUAAAUAACAUUAGAAUGAGGUCCAUUUUCGCUAGAUAUUUGAGAAACAUAGACCAGAUCUUUCCAUUGAUACACAGAAAAGUCUGACCGGUCAGGCCAUUAAAUGGAAAGCGCCCGUAGAGUAAAGAUGCUAUUGUUGAUGAGCUCGUUGCCGUUGUAUUUGCCAAACUCUCUACUUACUUAAUGACCGCUCCCUAACGUUUGACAAUGUUCGUAAUUUAUCGAACCCCUGUGUACUCAUAAAAACUCGAUGUUUCAUUCUUCACACGUGAGUAGAGAUUAACUCGUGUGUACGACGUCGUGAUAAAAAUAUGUUUGAAUAUCUUUGUACAAAAAGUGUGCAUGCAGUUGUAAAUAUAAUAGAUAUUCAUAGGAAACUAUUAGCCUCUUCCGCAGGCCUCUCUAUGGGUUUUAGCCUUGUGGACCUGUCAUUGUACCCCACCCCCUAAGUAGCCUUUUGACCCUAAUUAUAUAUUCAGUUUGCCAUAUUCGGGCGAGGAGCGAAGUUUGUGAGUAAAAACUUGGUCAAUUGAAAGGAGUAUAUAUAUCACAAUGUUUCUCGCGGUCUAAAAACACGUGAAAAUUUUGAAUCGCUCGCUCGAAAUUAGCCAAAUGUUUACAAAUGUAUGGGUUCAGAGUUCAAUUGUUCAGCCGAGGAACUACAAUUUGAGGAUCCGGCAUAAUUUCGAACGCAAAAUGGAACGAUACGAAAGGGUAUGAUUAAUAUAAUUUGUUUAAUAAAGGGAUUAUAUUAAAUUGUAUUGUUUCUUGAAUGAUAUUUUGAUAUGUAUAUUUUACUAAUUUUAGUCAAAUCAUCAAGCAUUUGGCAACACGCUCAUGCAGUGAAUUGAUAUAAAGGAAAAGAUCUUUCUGUUGAACUAACUGUUUCAUUAUAAGUGAGGAGAGAUCAUAAUAGCAACUUGGAAAUACUGUAUCAACUACAUAAAUUUAUUACUACAAACAUGAAGAUUUUAUUGGCAUCUCACUUGGUUGAAUAGUUAAAUUGGAAUUUUUGAACUCCCUCACCCCCUUAAUAUCAUGCCGGUAAAUAUGCUAAACCCAGUAAAGUUGCAUUGUGGCACUAUUCAAAUUGGCCAAACACGCCGCGGAAGCUGAUUAACUAAUGGAAUUUGAGUAAUUAACGUUGUUUUAUGAAUAAAUAAUGAUGUACAAUGCAU